UGGGGAAUUUUGGACAAUGGGGGAAACCCUGAUCAAGCCAUCCCGCGUGUGCGAUGAAGGCCUUCGGGUUGUAAAGCACUUUUGGCAGGAAAGAAACGUCAUGGGUUAAUACCCCGUGAAACUGACGGUACCUGCAGAAUAAGCACCGGCUAACUACGUGCCAGCAGCCGCGGUAACACGUAGGGUGCAAGCGUUAAUCGGAAUUACUGGGCGUAAAGCGUGCGCAGGCGGUUCGGCAAGAAAGAUGUGAAAUCCCAGAGCUCAACUUUGGAACUGCAUUUUUAACUACCGGGCUAGAGUGUGUCAGAGGGAGGUGGAAUUCCGCGUGUAGCAGUGAAAUGCGUAGAUAUGCGGAGGAACACCGAUGGCGAAGGCAGCCUCCUGGGAUAACACUGACGCUCAUGCACGAAAGCGUGGGGAGCAAACAGG
rnacentral:rRNA from 1 species